AAUAGAUACCCAGGUAGUCCACGCCGUAAACUAUGGAUGCUAGCUGUUGGCCGUAUCGGACCCGGUCAGUAGCGAAGCUAACGCGUUAAGCAUCCCGCCUGUGGAGUACGAGCGCAAGCUUAAAACAUAAAGGAAUUGACGGGGACCCGCACAAGCGGUGGAGCGUGUUGUUUAAUUCGAUGAUAAGCGAAGAACCUUACCCAGGCUUGACAUCCUUGGAAGGCCUCCGAAAGGAGACUGUGCCUUUUAGGAACCAAGUGACAGGUGUUGCAUGGCCGUCGUCAGCUCGUGUCGUGAGAUGUUUGGUUAAGUCCAUCAACGAGCGCAACCCUUAUAGUUAGUUGAAUUUUUCUAGCUAGACUGCCCUGGCAACAAGGAGGAAGGGGGGGUAUGAUGUCAGGUCAGUAUUACCCUUACGUCUGGGGCUACAAACACGCUACAAUGGCCGGUACAAAGGGCAGCCAACCCGCGAGGGGGAGCUAAUCCCAUCAAAGCCGGUCUCAGUUCGGAUUGCAGGCUGAAACUCGCCUGCAUGAAGCCGG
rnacentral:rRNA from 1 species